GUGGGGAAUAUUGGACAAUGGGGGGAACCCUGAUCCAGCCAUGCCGCGUGUGUGAAGAAGGCCUUUUGGUUGUAAAGCACUUUAAGUGAGGAGGAGGCUACCGAGAUUAAUACUCUUGGAUAGUGGACGUUACUCGCAGAAUAAGCACCGGCUAACUCUGUGCCAGCAGCCGCGGUAAUACAGAGGGUGCAAGCGUUAAUCGGAUUUACUGGGCGUAAAGCGCGCGUAGGUGGCCAAUUAAGUCAAAUGUGAAAUCCCCGAGCUUAACUUGGGAAUUGCAUUCGAUACUGGUUGGCUAGAGUAUGGGAGAGGAUGGUAGAAUUCCAGGUGUAGCGGUGAAAUGCGUAGAGAUCUGGAGGAAUACCGAUGGCGAAGGCAGCCAUCUGGCCUAAUACUGACACUGAGGUGCGAAAGCAUGGGGAGCAAACAGGAUUAGAAACCCCUGUAGUCC
rnacentral:rRNA from 1 species